CACCUGUGUGGCCUUUGACAAGGACAGUUUUUUGAACCCUGGUGACAUGGAUGUUGCCCGCAUUUCUCCUCACUUGGCCAUUCUCUAACCCCUUGUGGCUUGGUGGAAAGUGCGGCACGUCCCAAUGGUCCACAGCCCGCAGGCCUCAGCUCUUUCCUGGAGGCAGGCCCUCCGGUGGAUGUGGUCUCCUUUCCUCCUCUCCAGGGCCUGAGCUUUUCAGAGGUGUCAAGAAGUCGCUCGGUCUUGCCCAUUGUUGGAGGAUUCUAUCUUUCCAUGGUGAGAGCAAGACAGCAGCACGGCAUCAUGUUGCCUGCCAGUUUGAGGGGGGAAAAAAAUCUGAAGACAUCUAAAUGGGGA
rnacentral:lncRNA from 1 species